rnacentral:rRNA from 1 species
GAUGAACGCUAGCGGCAGGCCUAAUACAUGCAAGUCGAACGGGAUCUGAGGGUAGCUUGCUACCCGAUUUGAGAGUGGCGCACGGGUGCGUAACGCGUGAGCAACCUACCCAUAUCAGGGGGAUAGCCCGAAGAAAUUCGGGUUAACACCGCAUAAUAAUACGCUAACACACGUUGAUGUAUUUAAAUAUUUAUAGGAUAUGGAUGGGCUCGCGUGACAUUAGCUAGUUGGUAAGGUAACGGCUUACCAAGGCGACGAUGUCUAGGGGCUCUGAGAGGAGAAUCCCCCACACUGGUACUGAGACACGGACCAGACUCCUACGGGAGGCAGCAGUAAGGAAUAUUGGUCAAUGGGCGCAAGCCUGAACCAGCCAUGCCGCGUGCAGGAUGACUGCCCUAUGGGUUGUAAACUGCUUUUGCUAGGGAAUAAACCUUCUUACGUGUAAGGAGCUGAAUGUACCUAAAGAAUAAGGAUCGGCUAACUCCGUGCCAGCCGCCGCCGUAA